rnacentral:lncRNA from 10 species
GGCUCCGCACAGCGCCAGGGAUCACCCACCCGGAAGUCUGCCCGGCCUGGCCGCCAAGUGUCACUAGGUAUCCGCGUCAAGCCGGAACCAUGUAUAGCAGCUCCUUGUGUGUAGGGAGAAAGUUAAAACUGCCAUCUAAGGGUGUCGAUGGGAAGACUAAAAGUAGGCUCACCCACCUGCUGUGAAGCAGCGCGCGCGAGCUGUUACUAACAGUAGUGAAAAGCCGGGAUCCCUGCCCCCGAGGCACGCACUGGGGCGCCGGCUGACCCAGAGACCUGAGGGAGACUCAUUGCCGGAGCUGCACAGCCUGUGGGGCUGGAGGGGAACCGUCGCCCUUGGCGGGCUUCCCCAACCGCCAAGGCCUGAGGACCGCCGAGGGCGUGGCGGGAGCCUGUCCUCGGUUUUACAGGCCGGCUGGCUCGGGCACUUCUGGGUCCCAUGUCCCUGGUUUUGCAUCAUCCAUACCAAUCACUCCAUGUUGCUAUGUUCCUUCACCAGAAGACUGGGGGCUCAAAAAGGGCAGGGCAGCCCUCACUCACCAGUCUCCCCAGCCUCACCCAGCUCAGCACAGGGCACCAGGCAGGGGCUGAGAGUGCUGGGGUAGGUGGGUGUGGUCAAACAGCUUGGAAAGAGUUUGGCCUGCUCAUUGCAUUCCCCUCAGCUCAUCCUGGGGAUGUCUGCUCAUGGGAGAAUGGCAGAGGGAUCCCCAACAGUCAUUCCUGAUACUCCUCUCCCUGUAUCAUGUCAGCACAUAGUAGGUGUGGCCUAUGUAUGGCAGAUUCAUUUCUGCCCCCAAUAGGAUUUGCUGUAGUUUGGAUGUGUGUCCCCUCAAAAUCUCAUGUUGAAAUGUGAUCCCAAUGUUGGAAGUGGGGCCUGGUGGGAAGUAAUUGGGUCGUGAGGGCAGAUCCCUUAUGAAUGGUUCAGCACCAUCCCCUUGGUGAUGAGUUCUUGCUUAGUUCACACAAGAUCUGGUUAUUUAAGAGUCUAAGACCUCCCCUUCUCUCUUACUCCUGCUCUCACUAUGUGAUAUACUGGCUCCCCAUCACCUUAUGUCAUGAUCUUAAGCUUCCUGAGGUUGCACCAGAAGCAGAUGCCAGCACCAUACUUCCUGAAAAGCCUGCAGAACUGUGAGCCAAUUAAACCUCUUUAUAAAUUACCUAGCGUCAGGUAUUUCUUCAUAGCAAUGCAAGAAGGCCUAAUACAGAGUUUGACUUCAUUUAUUUAUGCCUUCAUUCACCAACUUUCACUGACAGCUACUCAGUGCAGGCCAUGUGCCAGGUGAUGCUGGGGACAGAUGCUGUCCCUGACCUGGAGAGGUCAUGGCAGGGGUGCAAGAGCAAGGGCAAGUGCCAAGGGCUGAGGGGCACAGAGGCAGCACCCUCACCAGCCUGCAGUGGGGGUUGGCGGGUAGAAGGCUUCCUGGAGGAGGGACCAGGGUUCCCAAUUGCACAGCCAA